rnacentral:rRNA from 1 species
GACGAACCGUCCUAACGUUGUUCGGAAUCACUGGGCUUAAAGGGCGCGUAGGCGGGCUGCCAAGUCUAGGGUGAAAUCUUUCGGCUUAACCGGAAAAUAGCCUUGGAUACUGGUGGUCUCGAGGGAGGUAGGGGUCGUUGGAACUUCCGGUGGAGCGGUGAAAUGCGUUGAUAUCGGAAGGAACGCCGGUGGCGAAAGCGAACGACUGGACCUCUUCUGACGCUGAGGCGCGAAAGCCAGGGGAGCAAACGGGAUUAGAUACCCCGGUAGUCCUGGCCCUAAACGAUGGGUACUAGAUAGCGGACUAGACAUGGGUUCGCUGUCGAAGCAAAAGUGCUAAGUACCCCGCCUGGGGAGUAUGGUCGCAAGGCUG